GUCAUCUCUUUCCUUGCCGCCUUGCUAGUACUGAGGAAUCCCAUUUCAGCAUCACCUACCCAGUGUCAAAAGUAUCUCACUUUUGUUGGAGGCCACGGACACAAGUUUUCACAAACAUCAUUCUUUUUUUUAUUUUAACUGAAUCUGCCUUGAUCUGGAAUUGACAAACACUAUUCUCAUUGCCUGCAGCAAAAAAGAUUUUUAUUUCUUCUCUCUUUGGAUAUCUUUGGGAGUGACUUUGGAACAGAGGCUCCAUCUUCUACACACUUUUUGGGAACACCUAUUGCAUCCAUGGCCUGCUUUAAGUCUGCUGUUACUUUUCUACUGAGAUAAAAUCCACUGUUUGCAUCCAACCGUUUCUUUUUACUAUUGUUUGCAAACUGGAAUCUAUUCCAAUUAAGAAUUUAUGAGGCGGCCAGGCACAGCAGCUCAUGCCUGUAAUCUCAGCAAUUUG